CCUACGGGAGGCAGCAGUGGGGAAUAUUGCACAAUGGGGGAAACCCUGAUGCAGCGACGCCGCGUGAGUGAAGAAGUAUUUCGGUACGUAAAGCUCUAUCAGCAGGGAAGAAAAUGACGGUACCUGACUAAGAAGCCCCGGCUAACUACGUGACAGCAGCCGCGGUAAUACGUAGGGGGCAAGCGUUAUCCGGAUUUACUGGGGGUAAAGGGAGCGUAGACGGCAGCGCAAGUCUGGAGUGAAAUCCCAUGGCUUAACCAUGGAACUGCUUUGGAAACUGUGCAGCUAGAGUGCAGGAGAGGUAAGCGGAAUUCCUGGUGUAGCGGUGAAAUGCGUAGAUAUUAGGAGGAACACCAGUGGCGAAGGCGGCUUACUGGACUGUAACUGACGUUGAGGCUCGAAAGCGUGGGGAGCAAACAGGAUUAGAUACCCCUGUAGUC
rnacentral:rRNA from 1 species